GACGAACGCUGGCGGCAUGCCUUAUACAUGCAAGUCGAGCGAACAGAUGAAGUGCUUGCACUUCUGACGCUAGCGGCGAACGGGUGAGUAACACGUAAGGAAUCUACCUAUAAGCGGGGGAUAACAUUCGGAAACGGGUGCUAAUACCGCAUAAUAUCUUCUUCCGCAUGGAAGAAGAUUGAAAGACGGCUCUGCUGUCACUUAUAGAUGACCUUGCGGUGCAUUAGUUAGUUGGUGGGGUAACGGCCUACCAAGACGAUGAUGCAUAGCCGACCUGAGAGGGUGAUCGGCCACAUUGGGACUGAGACACGGCCCAAACUCCUACGGGAGGCAGCAGUAGGGAAUCUUCCGCAAUGGGCGAAAGCCUGACGGAGCAAUGCCGCGUGAGUGAAGAAGGCCUUCGGGUCGUAAAACUCUGUUAUAAGAGAAGAACAAAUUGUAGAGUAACUGCUACAGUCUUGACGGUAUCUUAUCAGAAAGCCACGGCUAACUACGUGCCAGCAGCCGCCGUAA
rnacentral:rRNA from 1 species